CCUACGGGAGGCAGCAGUAAGGAAUAUUGGUCAAUGGACGAAAGUCUGAACCAGCCAUGCCGCGUGAAGGAUGAAGGCCCUCUGGGUUGUAAACUUCUUUUAUCUGGGACGAAAAAAGCUCAUUCUUGAGCACUUGACGGUACCAGAGGAAUAAGCACCGGCUAACUCCGUGCCAGCAGCCGCGGUAAUACGGAGGGUGCAAGCGUUAUCCGGAUUCACUGGGUUUAAAGGGUGCGUAGGUGGGUCUGUAAGUCAGUGGUGAAAUCUCCGAGCUUAACUCGGAAACUGCCAUUGAUACUAUAGGUCUUGAAUCAUCUGGAGGUAAGCGGAAUAUGUCAUGUAGCGGUGAAAUGCUUAGAUAUGACAUAGAACACCAAUUGCGAAGGCAGCUUACUACGGGUGUAUUGACACUGAGGCACGAAAGCGUGGGGAUCAAACAGGAUUAGAUACCCUGGUAGUCCACGCCCUAAACGAUGGAUACUCGACAUCAGCGAUACACUGUUGGUGUCUGAGCGAAAGCAUUAAGUAUCCCACCUGGGAAGUCGACCGCAAGGUUGAAACGUUAAAGGAAAUUGACGGCUGAGAGNGCGACGACGACGACGAGGGAGGAGG
rnacentral:rRNA from 1 species